rnacentral:tRNA from 1 species
GCGGGAAUAGCUCAGUUGGUAGAGCACGACCGAGGUCGGGGUCGCGAGUUCGAGUCUCGUUUCCGCUCCA